AUGAACGGAUUGGAUAUAAAACAUAUGAUCAAGGUAUUCUCUACGUUAAGAGUAUCACUCACUAAGCUGCACCUGGUAACACGUAAUCCGCGCCCCUUACUCCGACCACGUACCAUAACAGAGGAGUUGCAGCUGAAAGACACGUGGCAAUUCUGGCCGUGUUAAACGGCAGAAAGUAAACCGAUAUUAUCGGUGGGACCACGCGUCCACCGUUUUCGCCGAGGAAGAGAGAACGCCGAAACUAAUCAGCUUUUUUUCGUCUUAUCUCUUGCUUGGCUGCCUCUGUCAUAUGCAUGGUGACAAAUACCUUGCCUUUGCUGCCUAUCUACUUAUAAAAUUCUAUAGAUACCCUCACUCCAUCUCGUAAUCUCAUCGAUCAAAAACGGUUACGAAGGAGAAAUAUGGGAGCUCUGGAUUACGUUUCCGAUCUAUUCUCAUUCCCACGCAGCAACAGCAGCAUCAAGAAGCUCAAGAAGCGCAAGCAGUUGCAGGUGUGUAUGCUAAUUUGAUAUUUUACACCCACCUCAUUUCAUUUCCACCCCCUACUUUCCACCUUUGGUAAUUGAACUAGUGCAAAUGGAGACGUGGGUUUUUGGAAUUGAGUUGUGGGUGGUAGCGUAUAUAAGUUAGUAUAUGCUAUCAGCGUUUAUAUAUUAGAUUGGGUACAGUACAUUGUAGACGAACCGCGCCAGCAUUUCUGUCCUACAGUCAGAUGGAUAGAACUUGCAUGAGAUCCAACCCGUCCAACUUGUACACUGAUUUAUGUUUAGUUGGGAACCCAAAAAUCAUGAUAAUCCAAUACUCAGGUGGGCCACAACAUGGGAAACCGUUGUGAUGCUAUGCCUACUGUUAUUUUUGUGUAGGGUCCACCUUGGUGUUUAUAUGACAUCCAAUCCAUUCAUCUGUUGUAACUCAUUGGGAUGAAAGAAUUACU